rnacentral:lncRNA from 1 species
GGGUGCUAGGAACGUCAUGGUAAUCUCAUGCAUGAGUAAGGCUCGAAAGAUGUACUGAAAGUUAGAUGCAGUGAUUAAGAAGACGGAAGGGGUGUCCCCCAGCUUCCCACCCCUGCCCCACUGUCGUUUCCCAAUUCCUUCUACUGGUUUGACAGAAGGAACCAGUCCAGUUGACAGGAGGGAGGUGCUGGCCUCAGGCAUGGCUGCAGGAAGCAGGCUGGGCAGGAGCAGGGCACGAUUGCAACAGCACCCUGCCGCCAGCCACCUGCCGCCUGCCGCCUGCCGCCUGCCUUGCUCCAUCCUGCCUGGCGGCCGUGUGAGGCUGCCUGUGUGUCUGUCAUUGCUACUGGGACCCCUCGGGGAUACCCACCCCCUGGGAUUGGCCUUGGAUCCUGCUGGUCCUCUACUAGCCCAACAUUCUGCUCCUGUUUGUGGAUGUUCAACUCUGAAAGUCCUCAAACAAGCCCCUAUGUGGUCACAAAGUACCCCCCUGGUCACUCAGGUCUGGAGGACUCCAAGCACUCUUUGCUGGGGGCCAGGCUCAGGGGCCUGAUGUUUCGAAUCGCCUUUCUGAGGGCCUGUCCUGGCUCCCAGGUGACUGUGGGAGAUCCUGAGCUAUGCCCUUGGAGCACCCUUCGCCAACUCCAGGCACAGCCAGUGUCCCCACCCUGGUGGCCUCUCCCCCUUGAACAGGCACACUGUGGCCCUGAGGAUGAUGUGUGAUGAUGACUUGUUCCUGAUUUGCCUCCCAUCAGUUUGUAAGCCUCUGGCACAUAGAAGCAAGGGCAGGAAGUCUCAGGUGGCGCUGACGGAGCAGAGAAGAGACACACAGACCCAUGUGAGCCUUCACCCCCGGGCUGGGCUGGAGAGCGAUGCUGUUGGACUGAACAGGAGCCCAGUUGAUCGGGGCCUGGUGGAGGCGACAAAGCUGCCAGGCCCCAGCCUCGGAGCUCUUUGAUGGGCCUUUCAGGCCAGGUGACACUGACUCACCCAGUCACACAGAGGUUUCUCCAGCAUGAGUGUGGCCACAAUUUAGAGACUCUGGGAGUCGGGGUCCUUCACUUUGCAGGUGGGGGUUGGAUGCCCCGGCAGACAAGACCUCAGAGGACGGGAGAUGGGAGUCUUUUCAACACAUCCUAAGGCACCAGGGUGGCGGAG